GCCCGGAUAGCUCAGUCGGUAGAGCGUUAGGCUUUUAACCUAACGGUCUAGGGUUCGAGUCCCUAUUCGGGCG
rnacentral:tRNA from 1 species